UUGCAAUGAUGACAAUCUUAGGACACCUUUGGAAUAACCGUGAAAAGAAUUCAUGUCUGAGCUUC